rnacentral:tRNA from 1 species
GUCUCCGUAGCUCAGUUGGAUAGAGCACCUGCCUCCUAAGCAGGGGGCCGCAAGUUCGAUUCUUGCCGGGGACACCA